rnacentral:rRNA from 1 species
UUGUAGAGAUACGAGGGUGCCUUCGGGAACUGUGAGACAGGUGCUGCAUGGCUGUCGUCAGCUCGUGUUGUGAAAUGUUGGGUUAAGUCCCGCAACGAGCGCAACCCUUAUCCUUUGUUGCCAGCGGUCCGGCCGGGAACUCAAAGGAGACUGCCAGUGAUAAACUGGAGGAAGGUGGGGAUGACGUCAAGUCAUCAUGGCCCUUACGACCAGGGCUACACACGUGCUACAAUGGCGCAUACAAAGAGAAGCGACCUCGCGAGAGCAAGCGGACCUCAUAAAGUGCGUCGUAGUCCGGAUUGGAGUCUGCAACUCGACUCCAUGAAGUCGGAAUCGCUAGUAAUCGUGGAUCAGAAUGCCACGGUGAAUACGUUCCCGGGCCUUGUACACACCGCCCGUCACACCAUGGGAGUGGGUUGCAAAA